rnacentral:rRNA from 1 species
GUAGGUGAACCUGCGGAGGGAUCAUUACCGAGUUUACAACUCCCAAACCCCUGUGAACAUACCUAUUUGUUGCCUCGGCGGUGCCUGUUCCGACAGCCCGCCAGAGGACCCCAAACCCUGAUUACAUUUAAGAAGUCUUCUGAGUAAACCGAUUAAAUAAAUCAAAACUUUCAACAACGGAUCUCUUGGUUCUGGCAUCGAUGAAGAACGCAGCGAAAUGCGAUAAGUAAUGUGAAUUGCAGAAUUCAGUGAAUCAUCGAAUCUUUGAACGCACAUUGCGCCCGCUAGUAUUCUGGCGGGCAUGCCUGUCCGAGCGUCAUUUCAACCCUCAAGCCCCCGGGCUUGGUGUUGGGGAUCGGCGAGCCUCCGCGCCCGCCGUCCCCUAAAUCUAGUGGCGGUCUCGCUGUAGCUUCCUCUGCGUAGUAGCACACCUCGCACUGGGAAACAGCGCGGCCACGCCGUUAAACCCCCAACUUCUGAACGUUUGACCUCGGAUCAGGUAGGAAUACCCGCUGAACUUAAGCAUAUCAAUAAGCGGAG